rnacentral:rRNA from 1 species
AGAGCAUAUGGUGGAUGCCUUGGCUUCAAGUAGCGAUGAAAGACGUAGUACGGCUGCGAUAAGUUUCGGGGAGGUGCCUAACAACCUUCGAUCCGGAAAUUUCUGAAUGGGGGAACCCGGCUGGUUAUGCCAGCCAUUUCUAGGCUUGACCUAGAUCUGCGCACCCAGGGAAGUGAAACAUCUCAGUACCUGGAGGAAAAGAAAACAAUCCUACGAAUGUAGGAAACAUUUCCUUAGUAGCGGCGAGCGAAAAGGAAAGAGCCCAAACCGAAUGUGUUUACAUAUUCGGGGUAGUAAGACAAUAAUGUAGUAUUUAUACUAGGAGAGUCAAAAAUUAAUUUAUUAAGUGAAUCUACUGGAAAGUAGAACCCUAGGCGGUAAUAGUCCUGUAACUGAAAAUAAAUUAACUCUCUUGUUAUUGCUCUUGAGUAACUCAAGACAUGAAUAGCUUGAGCGAAUCUGCCGGAACUAACCGGUAAGGCUAAAUAUACUUGAAGACCGAUAGUGAACUAGUACCGUGAGGGAAAGGUGAAAAGAAGCCCGGUAAGGGCAGUGAAAUAGACCUGAAACCAUAUGCUUACAAGGAGUCGGAGCCGUUUUUUUAAACGGUCACGGCGUGCCUAUUGAAGAAUGAGCCAACGAGUUAAUUUUAUAUCUGUGUCUAAGGGGCGAUCCCCCGAAGGCCUAGCGAAAGCGAGUCUGAAUAGGGCGUUUAGAUAUGGGAUUAAACCCGAAGCCAAGUGAUCUUGCCAUGAGCAGGGUGAAGGGAUUCGAAAGAAUUCUGGAGGCCCGAACCCGUAUGUCGUUCAAUUCAUUGGGAUGACUUGUGGUAAGUAGUGAAAAGCUAAUCGAACUUGGUAAUAGCUGGUUCUCUCCGAAAUAGCUUUAGGGUUAGCGUCAUGUGUUCCUCUGAGGGGUAGAGCACUGGAAGGUUUAGACAGGGAGAAAUCUCACUAAACCUAUCAAACUCCGAAUACUCAGAAUAAAAGCAUGGCAGUUAGACUCCGGGGGCUAAGCUCCGGUGGUCAAAAGGGAAACAGCCCAGAUCUCAAGUUAAGGUCCCAAAAUUUACAUUAAGUGCGCUUAAGGUUGUGAAGUUUCUCUGACAGUGAGGAGGUUGGCUUAGAAGCAGCCAUCCUUUAAAGAUAGCGUAACAGCUCACUCACUCAGAGACUAUGCGCCGAAGAUGAUCGGGGCUAAAUGUAAUACCGAAACUGAGGGUUUGUAAAUUUAUUUACAAGCGGUAGGAGAGUGUUCCUGUCUGCACCGAAGCCAAAGGGGUAACCCAUGGUGGAGCGUCAGGAAGUAAGAAUGUUGGCACAAGUAACCACAAUGCGAGUGAGAUUCUCGCACGCCGAAAGACUAAGGUUUCCUUCGCAAUGAAGAUCAGCGAAGGGUUAGUCGGGCCUAAGGGGAUGGUGAAAACCGAACCCGAUGGACACAUGGUUAAUAUUCCAUGACUUAUUUAAAAUGCGAUGGAGGGACGAGGGGUAUUAUGCAAAGCCCAUUAUUGGAUUUGGGUUGUUGCCAAAAGGUUGUUGUCCAGGUAAAUCCGGAUGACACAAGACCGAUUUGGAGAGAAAAUCCUGCGAUUCGUCAAGGGAAAUUUUGCAAAAAACGCCUCCGAGAAAAUCUUCUAAGCUUAAUUUUAAAUAAUCCGUACCAAAACCAACACAGGUAGUCAGGUCGAGUAGACCAAGGCGAACGAGUGAGAGGUCCUCAAGGAACUCGGCAAAAAAGCGAUCGUAAGUUAGCGAUAAGAUCUGCCUAUUAACAUAGGCCGCAGCUAAAGUAUUCCUGGCGACUGUUUAUCAAAAACACAGCUCCCUGCGAACUCGUAAGAGGAUGUAUAGGGGGUGACACCUGACCAAUGCCAGAAGGUCAAAUAUCGGUGGUGCUAAACAUUUUGCGUUUGAUUAUAUCGAGCUCAAAAUGUUUAGUGCUGACUGAUAUAAGCCCUGGUGAAUGUCGGCCGUAACUAUAACGGUCCUAAGGUAGCGAAAUUCCUUGUCUGGUAAGUUCAGACGCGCACGAAUGGUGUAACGACUGGGAAACUGUCUCGAGGACUUGCUCGGUGAAAAUACAGUAGCGGUGAAGAUGCCGCUUACCUACAGUUAGACGAAAAGACCCCAGGAGCUUUACUACAACUUGAUAUUGGCUGCAUGUUUCUUAUGCGUAGCAUAGGUGGGAGACUUUGAGACUUUCCUUUCGGGGGAAGUGGAGUCAUCAGUGAAAUACCACUCUUAAGAAGUAUGCAGUCUAACCCGUUUGGAAAAAACAAACAGGGACAGUAUCUGGCGGGUAGUUUGAGUGGGGCGCUCUCCUCCUAAAGAGUAACGGAGGAGCUUAAAGGUUAGCUAGGCGCGAAUGGAAACCGUGCCGAUAGUGUAAUGGCACAAGCUAGCUUGACUGCAAGACGUAUAUGUCAAGCAGGUGCGAAAGCAGAACAUAGUGAACCGAGAGUUUACAUUAGAUGUAGCUCGAGAUUAACAGAUAAAAGUUACCCUGGGGAUAACAGGCUGGUACUGCCUAAGAGUUCAUAUCGACGGCAGUGUUCGGCACCUCGAUGUCGGCUCAACUUAUCCUGGGGCUGGAGAAGGUCCCAAGGGUUUGGCUGUUCGCCAAUUAAAAAGUUACGCGAGCU